rnacentral:rRNA from 1 species
UACGGAGGGGGGCUAGCGUUGUUCGGAAUUACUGGGCGUAAAGCGCACGUAGGCGGCUUUGUAAGUUAGAGGUGAAAGCCCAGGGCUUAACCCUGGAAUUGCCUUUAAGACUGCAUCGCUAGAAUCGUGGAGAGGUGAGUGGAAUUCCGAGUGUAGAGGUGAAAUUCGUAGAUAUUCGGAAGAACACCAGUGGCGAAGGCGGCUCACUGGCCCGGUACUGACGCUGAGACGGCGAAAGCGUG